rnacentral:misc_RNA from 1 species
UGCAAAGCAGAUAUUAUUUUCCUAUAACAUAAAUCUAUUUUUGUUCUAAAAAAAAAGAAAAUUCCUAAUAAAUAGAAACCUAACUGAAAAUUUUCCACUGAUACUUAUUUCCAAACUACAACAAUCUUCAUGUAUGUAGAAUUAAUUACCCUAAUGGAUUUCCGAAGACUGUGGUUCUUCUCUAACAAUGAAGUAGAUGCUAUGUCUAUUUUUGCUUGUAACAAACAAAAAGAACAAAAUGUAGGGCUAGCAAUAUUGCAUAAUGGACCUGACAUGCAAAAAUAAUUGGAACAUGACACAAGAUUAGAUUGCUAUGACUUCAUAACCCACUGAUGCUCUAAAUGAGGACCAAAGAUAAAAAAUAAUGAAAGAUAGAUGAUCCCAAAAAUUCACAAGCAUAAUAGGAAUAAAAGGAGCAACAUAAUAAUACCUUCCCAUCCAGCUCACUUGUGGC